GUGAUUGUAGCUCAGUUGGUUAGAGCACCAGAUUGUGGUUCUGGGGGUCGCCGGUUCGAACCCGGUCAUUCACCCA
rnacentral:tRNA from 2 species